UACGGAGGGGGCUAGCGUUGUUCGGAAUUACUGGGCGUAAAGCGCACGUAGGCGGAUCAGUCAGUCAGGGGUGAAAUCCCGGGGCUCAACCCCGGAACUGCCUUUGAUACUGCUGAUCUGGAGGAUGAGAGAGGCGAGUGGAAUUCCGAGUGUAGAGGUGAAAUUCGUAGAUAUUCGGAGGAACACCAGUGGCGAAGGCGGCUCGCUGGCUCAUUUCUGACGCUGAGGUGCGAAAGCGUGGGGAGCAAACAGG
rnacentral:rRNA from 1 species